AGCUCCAAUAGCGUAUAUUAAAGUUGUUGCAGUUAAAAAGCUCGUAGUUGGAUCUCGGGCGCCGGUUUGUGGUACACUUUACUGUUGUUACUGCAUGUCCGGCCCUAAUCAACCGGUUGGUCGUUUAUGCCCUUCACUGGGUGUUUUCGGUAGCCGGUACGUUUACUUUGAGAAAAUUAGAGUGCUUAAAGCAGGCCUUACGCCUGAAUAAUGUUGCAUGGAAUAAUAGAAUAGGACCUCGGUUUUAUUUUGUUGGUUUUGUAGAGCAUUGAGGUAAUGAUUAAUAGGGACAGACGGGGGCAUUCGUAUUGCGGUGUUAGAGGUGAAAUUCUUGGAUCGCCGCAAGACGAACAACUGCGAAAGCAUUUGCCAAGAAUGUUUUCA
rnacentral:rRNA from 1 species